ensembl:snRNA U6 U6 spliceosomal RNA
GUAAGCGAGUACAUACACUAAACUUGGAGAGAUACAGAGAAGAUUAGCAUGGGCGCUGCACAGGAUUGACAGGCAAAUUCAUGAAGUGCUCUGUAUUUAU